rnacentral:rRNA from 1 species
GAACGGGUGAGUAACACGUGAGUAACCUGCCCCAGACUCUGGGAUAAGCCUUGGAAACGAGGUCUAAUACCGGAUACGCAACUCCAUCGCAUGGUGAGGGUUGGGAAAGUUUUUCGGUCUGGGAUGGACUCGCGGCCUAUCAGCUUGUUGGUGAGGUAAUGGCUCACCAAGGCGACGACGGGUAGCCGGCCUGAGAGGGCGACCGGCCACACUGGAACUGAGACACGGUCCAGACUCCUACGGGAGGCAGCAGUGGGGAAUAUUGCACAAUGGGCGCAAGCCUGAUGCAGCGACGCCGCGUGGGGGAUGAAGGCCUUCGGGUUGUAAACCCCUUUCAGCAGGGAAGAAGCGAAAGUGACGUUACCUGCAGAAGAAGCGCCGGCUAACUACGUGCCAGCAGCCGCGGUAAUACGUAGGGCGCAAGCGUUGUCCGGAAUUAUUGGGCGUAAAGAGCUCGUAGGCGGUUCGUCGCGUCUGCUGUGAAAGCCCGAGGCUCAACCUCGGGUCUGCAGUGGGUACGGGCGGACUAGAGUGUGGUAGGGGAGACUGGAAUUCCUGGUGUAGCGGUGGAAUGCGCAGAUAUCAGGAGGAACACCAAUGGCGAAGGCAGGUCUCUGGGCCACAACUGACGCUGAGGAGCGAAAGCGUGGGGAGCGAACAGGAUUAGAUACCCUGGUAGUCCACGCCGUAAACGGUGGGCACUAGAUGUGGGGCUCUUUCCAUGAGUUCCGCGUCGCAGCUAACGCAUUAAGUGCCCCGCCUGGGGAGUACGGCCGCAAGGCUAAAACUCAAAGGAAUUGACGGGGGCCCGCACAAGCGGCGGAGCAUGCGGAUUAAUUCGAUGCAACGCGAAGAACCUUACCAAGGCUUGACAUAUACCUUCUAUCCUCAGAGAAUGGGGAGUGCUUUUAGCGGGGUAUACAGGUGGUGGC